rnacentral:tRNA from 2 species
GCACCCAUAGCUCAGUUGGUAGAGCAGCUGACUCUUAAUCAGCGGGUCCUGGGUUCGAGUCCCCGUGGGUGUACCA